rfam:Bacillus sp. MTM 13 119, whole genome shotgun sequence.
UCGUUAUAAGGGCAAAGCCAUUGAAAAGUGGUGACGCAAAGCUAAAGGGGCUUCAUUGUUACACACUAAGCCAGCCAGCUGCCGAA